UACGUAGGUGGCAAGCGUUGUCCGGAUUUACUGGGCGUAAAGAGCGCGCAGGCGGUCGUUCAAGUCGCGUGUGAAAGCCCCCGGCUCAACUGGGGAGGGUCACGCGAUACUGAUCGACUGGAAGGCAGGAGAGGGUAGUGGAAUUCCCGGUGUAGUGGUGAAAUGCGUAGAUAUCGGGAGGAACACCAGUGGCGAAGGCGACUACCUGGACCAGCACUGACACUGAGGCACGAAAGCGUGGGGAGCAAACAGG
rnacentral:rRNA from 1 species